GGCCUGGUGGUGUAGAGGCAACACAUCCUUCUCAAUAUAUAGUUUCAAGAAACAGCAAUUUCCGAGGGAACGCCCUGUUCGAUUCAGGGCCAGGCCU